rnacentral:rRNA from 1 species
ACGAACGCUGGCGGCGUGCUUAACACAUGCCAGUCGAACGGGCCUGUCUUCUUUUUUGGGGGUGGGUUGAGUGGCGAACGGGUGAGUAUCACGUGAGUAACCUGCCCUUCGGUCCUGGAUAACCGCUUGAAAGGGCGGCUAAUACGGGGUGGUCCGGUUGGUCCGCAUGGGCUGGUCGGGAUAGAUUCACUGUUUUUGGUGUUUCGGCGGGGGAUGGGCUCGCGGCCUAUCAGCUUGUUGGUGGGGUGAUGGCCUACCAAGGCGGUGACGGGUAGCCGGCCUGAGAGGGUGGGCGGCCACACUGGGACUGAGAUACGGCCCAGACUCCUGCGGGAGGCAGCAGUGGGGGGUAUUGCACAAUGGGCGGAAGCCUGAUGCAGCGACGUCGCGUGAGGGAGGGAGGCCUUCGGGUUGUGAACCUCUGUUUCCGGUGGUGAAGGCCCUGUCCGUGUGGUGGGGUUGACGGUAGCCGGGGAUGAAGCGCCGGCUAACUACGUG